rnacentral:rRNA from 1 species
GGACGAACGCUGGCGGCGUGCCUAACACAUGCAAGUCGAGCGGAGACAGUGAGUAGCUUGCUAUGAGCUGUUUUAGCGGCGGACGGGUGAGUAACGCGUGAGCAACUUUCCCAGACAGGGGAAUAACACACCGAAAGGUGUACUAAUACCGCAUAAGACCACGGGAUCACAUGGUUCUGGGGUAAAAGAUUUAUCGGUUUGGGGUGGACUCGCGUCCGAUUAGAUAGUUGGCGGGGUAACGGCCCACCAAGUCGACGAUCGGUAGCCGGACUGAGAGGUUGAUCGGCCACAUUGGGACUGAGACACGGCCCAGACUCCUACGGGAGGCAGCAGUGAGGGAUAUUGGGCAAUGGGGGAAACCCUGACCCAGCAACGCCGCGUGAGGGAUGACGAUUUUCGGAUUGUAAACCUCUGUCCUCUGUGAAGAUAGUGACGGUAGCAGAGGAGGAAGCUCCGGCUAACUACGUG